AAUAGGUGUUUGGGAAAAAUUACAGUCAUAAGAAGUUUAAUGCUGUAAUAAUAUUGUGAGGUGUGUACAGAAAAAAAGGGAUGUAAAGGUGUAAGUUUAUGUUUACGUGUUAAUGGACCAAUCAGGAGGGAGUUACAGGUCACCAGAAGGUUGAGGAAAGAACGGCGCGAGAGAGAGAAGGGAGAAGAGCGUGCAUGUGGAAGGAGUGUGAAUUCAGAGCUCAAAACCAGAGCACUAUAUGUGACUUUAGUGGUGGAAUAAGCUAUCUGUGAAGAGUUUAAUCUCGGAGAGACGUUAUAUUACCGCGGAAAGAACUAUAUAAUAGCUAAGAGUUAGCUGUUAAGACUUGAAUACUAGAGCACACAUGGACUUUGCUAAUAAGUUAGCGAACAGCCGACUGGAGGUGCAGAGACUGUGUUUGUCACAGAGAAAGGAGUUAUGGACUUCACGGAUGACUACCUGUGUGUGAAUCUCCUUUUCUUCUUAUCUUGCAACGACCCUGGCUUGGGGUCUGGAGCCAUGCUGAGAGGGACACAGAGGUGUUUAGUCAUCACCGACAGGCUGACAGCUGUGGCUAGACACCAGAAACCUGCUGCUAGAUUUAUGUCAUUCUGAGGAUGGAGUCACUGCUUGGCAGCAACCUCACAACAAACACAAAUGGGAGGUAAUGAUAGGACCAAAGUACAAAAUACUUCAUGUGAUUAUCACUUUUUUAUUUCUUUGUUUAUUGCUUGGGUCUGGACUAUCUGUAACAUGACCUGACCAGGUUUAAGUGAUUUCUGAAGAUGAAUGAAUGAAUGCUUUUUUGCCUUGAUUUUGUCUUAAUAGCAAAAUUGUUAACAUAUUAAAGAAAGAAAGAUUUGUAAAUGUCCACAGAACUGUAACUUUUGUUCCAAUCAUGACACUCAUAACAUAUGUAAGGUUACAUAUAUGUAAUAGAAAUCAAUCAUAAGAAGCAAUUAGUAAUCAGCCUCUCUUAUCGCUGUCUGCUCAUUCAACAUAAGUCCAGCCAUUCAAGUACUGCUCCACUGCUGUAAACAUAGAUAAGUACUUUGUAGGCCUUGAAUAGAUGUACUGUUACUUAUUACCCUUCACUAUGUUCAAAGAUUUCAGUACUGAUAUUAAACCUCUCUUGCUCUCCGUGUGUGUGUGCGUGCGCAUGUGUUCAACAUGGCUAUUGUCCUCGUGCUGUGGUGUAUUCAGUCAUACAAUGCAGUUCUGUGCCGUAAAUAUACCUUUAUCAGUUCUGUAUUACUCAAGUGGAGAUGUAACAUAAAUAAAUAAAUUACAAAUAG
ensembl:lncRNA